GAUGAACGCUGGCGGCGUGCCUAAUACAUGCAAGUCGAGCGAACAGACGAGGAGCUUGCUCCUUUGACGUUAGGCGCGCGCGGGUGUGUAACACGUGGAUAACCUACUUAUAAUACUGGUAUCACUUCGGGAAACCGGAGCUAAUCCCGGAGAAUAUACUGAACCGCAGGGGUCAUUAGUGAAAGACGGUUUUUCUGUCUCUUAUAGCUGGAUCCGGGCCGGAUUAGCUAGUUGGUAGGGUAACGGGUUUUCAAGGGAACGAUGCGUAACCGACGUGUGAGGGUGAUAGGCCGCACUAGAACUGGAACACGCACCAGAGUCCUACGGGAGGCAGCAGUAGGGAAUCUUCCGCAAUGGGCGGAAGCCUUGCGGAGCGGCGCGGCGCCAGAUGUGAAGGUGUCCGGAUCGUAAAACUCUGUUAUUAGGGGAGAACAAAUGUGUAAGUAGCUGUGCACGGCUUGACGGUACCUGGUCAGAAAGCCACGGCUAACUACGUG
rnacentral:rRNA from 1 species